rnacentral:rRNA from 1 species
UACGGGGGGGGCAAGCGUUGUUCGGAAUUACUGGGCGUAAAGGGCGCGUAGGCGGCCUGCUAAGUCGGACGUGAAAUCCCUCGGCUUAACCGGGGAACUGCGUCCGAUACUGGUUGGCUUGAGUUUGGGAGAGGGAUGCGGAAUUCCAGGUGUAGCGGUGAAAUGCGUAGAUAUCUGGAGGAACACCGGUGGCGAAGGCGGCAUCCUGGACCAAUACUGACGCUGAGGAGCGAAAGCCAGGGGAGCAAACGGG